AUUGAACGCUGGCGGCAGGCCUAACACAUGCAAGUCGAACGGAGCGGCGGACGGGUGAGUAAUGCCUAGGACUCUGCCAGGUCGUGGGGGAUAACGUCCGGAAACGGGCGCUAAUACCGCAUACUAUCACAUUAGGCUAGGUCGGAUUGGCUAGUUGGUGGGGUAAAGGCCUACCAAGGCGACGAUCCUGAACUGGUCUGAGAGGAUGACCAGCCACACUGGAACUGAGACACGGUCCAGACUCCUACGGGGGGCAGCAGUGGGGAAUAUUGCACAAUGGGCGCAAGCCUGAGGCAGCCAGGCCGCGUGUAUGAAGAAGGCCUUCGGGUUGUAAAGUACGUUCAGCGGGGAGGCGUUACCCGCAGAAGAAGCACCGGCUAACUCCGUGCCAGCAGCCGCGGUAAUAC
rnacentral:rRNA from 1 species